GGUGGUAGCUCAUUGAUAGAGCGCUUGCCUAGCAUGUAUGAGGCUCUGGGUUCAAUCCUCAGCACCA
rnacentral:tRNA from 1 species